CAGAAGGUAGUUUAGUAUAGAAUACCAGCUUUGGGAGUUGGAGGCGGGGGUUUAAUUCCCUCCUUUCUGA
rnacentral:tRNA from 1 species